rnacentral:rRNA from 1 species
CCAAUAGCGUAUAUUAAAGUUGUUGCAGUUAAAAAGCUCGUAGUUGAAUUUCGGGAUCAAUUUAUUGGUCGUGCUAUUGUACGUACUGGUAUUAUUGAUUCCUACCUUCUGACGAACCACGAUGUCAUUAAUUUGGUGUCAUGGGGAAUCAGGACUGUUACUUUGAAAAAAUUAGAGUGUUUAAAGCAGGCUCACGCUUG